UACGAAGGGGGCUAGCGUUGCUCGGAAUCACUGGGCGUAAAGCGCACGUAGGCGGAUUGUUAAGUCAGGGGUGAAAGCCUGGAGCUCAACUCCAGAACUGCCCUUGAUACUGGCAAUCUCGAGUCCGGAAGAGGUAAGUGGAACUCCGAGUGUAAAGGUGAAAUUCGUAGAUAUUCGGAAGAACACCAGUGGCGAAGGCGGCUUACUGGUCCGGUACUGACGCUGAGGCGCGAAAGCGUGGGGAGCAAACAGG
rnacentral:rRNA from 1 species